rnacentral:rRNA from 1 species
GACGAACGCUGGCGGCGUGCUUAACACAUGCAAGUCGAACGGAAAGGCCCUGCUUGCAGGGUACUCGAGUGGCGAACGGGUGAGUAACACAUGGGUGAUCUGCCCUGCACUUCGGGAUAAGCCUGGGAAACUGGGUCUAAUACCGGAUAGGAGCCAUUUUUAGUGUGAUGGUUGGAAAGUUUUUUCGGUGUAGGAUGAGCUCGCGGCCUAUCAGCUUGUUGGUGGGGUAAUGGCCUACCAAGGCGGCGACGGGUAGCCGGCCUGAGAGGGUGGACGGCCACAUUGGGACUGAGAUACGGCCCAGACUCCUACGGGGGGCAGCAGUGGGGAAUAUUGCACAAUGGGCGCAAGCCUGAUGCAGCGACGCCGCGUGGGGGAUGACGGCCUUCGGGUUGUAAACUCCUUUCGCUAGGGACGAAGCUUUUUGUGACGGUACCUAGAUAAGAAGCACCGGCUAACUACGUG